rnacentral:rRNA from 1 species
GAUGAACGCUGGCGGCGUGCCUAAUACAUGCAAGUCGAGCGAACGGACGAGAAGCUUGCUUCUCUGAUGUUAGCGGCGGACGGGUGAGUAACACGUGGAUAACCUACCUAUAAGACUGGGAUAACUUCGGGAAACCGGAGCUAAUACCGGAUAAUAUUUUGAACCGCAUGGUUCAAAAGUGAAAGACGGUCUUGCUGUCACUUAUAGAUGGAUCCGCGGUGCAUUAGCUAGUUGGUAAGGUAACGGCUUACCAAGGCAACGAUGCAUAGCCGACCUGAGAGGAUGAUCGGCCACACUGGAACUGAGACACGGUCCAGACUCCUACGGGAGGCAGCAGUAGGGAAUCUUCCGCAAUGGGCGAAAGCCUGACGGAGCAACGCCGCGUGAGUGAUGAAGGUCUUCGGAUCGUAAAACUCUGUUAUUAGGGAAGAACAUAUGUGUAAGUAACUGUGCACAUCUUGACGGUACCUAAUCAGAAAGCAACGGCUAACUACGUG